UACGUAGGGGGGCAAGCGUUGUCCGGAAUCAUUGGGCGUAAAGCGCGUGUAGGCGGCUCGGUAAGUCUGCUGUGAAAGUCCAGGGCUCAACCCUGGGAUGCCGGUGGAUACUGUCGAGCUCGAGUCCGGAAGAGGCGAGUGGAAUUCCUGGUGUAGCGGUGAAAUGCGCAGAUAUCAGGAGGAACACCGGUGGUGCAGACGGCUCUCUGGACCGCGACUGACGCUGAGACACGAAAGCGUGGGUAGCAAACAGG
rnacentral:rRNA from 1 species